rfam:Ruminococcaceae bacterium CPB6, complete genome.
GUUGGUGCUGAUGACGGCGAGGGUCCACCUGUUCCCAUUCCGAACACAGAAGUUAAGCUCGCUCGUGCCGAAAAUACUUGGCUGGUAACGGCCCGGGAAAUUAGGUAGGUGCCAACA